GCUGGGCGUGGUGGCUCACGCCUGUAAUCCCAACACUUUGGGAGGCUGAGGUGGGCGGAUCACCGGAGGUCGGGAGUUCGAGACCAGCCUGACCAACAUGGGGAAACCCCAUCUCUA
rnacentral:SRP_RNA from 1 species